rnacentral:rRNA from 1 species
GACGAACGCUGGCGGCGUGCUUAACACAUGCAAGUCGAACGGAAAGGCCCUGCUUUUGUGGGGUGCUCGAGUGGCGAACGGGUGAGUAACACGUGAGUAACCUGCCCUUGACUUUGGGAUAACUUCAGGAAACUGGGGCUAAUACCGGAUAGGAGCUCCUGCUGCAUGGUGGGGGUUGGAAAGUUUCGGCGGUUGGGGAUGGACUCGCGGCUUAUCAGCUUGUUGGUGGGGUAGUGGCUUACCAAGGCUUUGACGGGUAGCCGGCCUGAGAGGGGGACCGGCCACAUUGGGACUGAGAUACGGCCCAGACUCCUACGGGAGGCAGCAGGGGGGAAUAUUGCACAAUGGGCGGAAGCCUGUUGCAGCAACGCCGCGUGCGGGAUGACGGCCUUCGGGUUGUAAACCGCUUUCGCCUGUGACGAAGCGUGAGUGACGGUAAUGGGUAAAGAAGCACCGGCUAACUACGUG